rnacentral:tRNA from 1 species
GAAAAUGUAACUCAGUGGUUAGAGUAUCAGAUUGUCAAACUGAAGGUCGCGGGUUCAAAUCCCGUCUUUUUCG